rnacentral:misc_RNA from 1 species
AGGAUGCCUGUAGAAUGGUGGUUGUUAACCGAGUCAUGGAAUUGAGGCUGUGAUGCAACAUGUGCAGAAUGCUGGUUGUUAACCCUCUCAAGAAACUGGCUUGAUGGUGGAAUGCUAGAAGAGUGCUGGUCACUGACUUGGUCAUGGAAAAGAGAUGACUGAUCAGAUUCUGGUCGAGGACUGGUAGCUGCAGUUUCAGUAGGCCCAAUAUCAUAACCACCACUGGGGGUGCUCAAUGGAAUUGACAAAUCUUCAUCACCAUCAGGAGGACCUGGAUUGGGCUUCCUUCCUUCU